UAUAUAUGAUUCUUUUGAAUGUAGAGUACUGUUCUUUUUUUUAACUGACGUCGGAGGUGGUAGGAAAUGAGCUAGGAUUCAAAGUCCUUUCUGACUUUGGAGGUGAAAAGUUUGGGCGUUAACACCCAUGGGGAAAAUAAAACUGAAAGUUCACCAACCCCUGGGAUCAGUUGUGCUGGAGCCUUUCUCCAAGGGGGUCUGAAGACGACCAAAUAAUCAAGAUGUAGAUGGCUCUGGCAGGAAAUUGCUAACCAAACCCAGGCUGGAGGACCUCCCGGAGCACAUGGAAAACCUGGGGCUUGAGGCAGAGACAGAAGCAGGAGAAUUGCUUGAGCCCAGGAGUUGGAGGUUACUGUGAGCUGUGAUACGAAAGCACUCUACCCAGGGUGACAGCUUCUGGCCAGGUGUUGUGGCAGACACCUGUAGUCCCAGCUACUUGGGAGGCAGAAGCAGGGUGACUUGUCUCAGAAAAACCAAAAAAACAAAAAAAUAAACAGAACUUUUUCAAAACAAGUUCACCAUGUGGCGUUUGGACCUGGUUAUGACCAGACGGUGCGUGUCACCAUUACUGCAUAUAAAUCAGCCGGGAGCUUGAUUUAUAAGGACCAGAGGAUUCUUCAGAGUAAAUGCUUCUGGGAAAGAAGAGCAGAACGUUGGUGCUCUGUGAGUGGAAAUGGGGCUGCUCAGAUGUGAUAGAUACAAAAGCUGUGCAGCUCCUCACCCCAGCCCUCCACCCUGCCCGCUGUUUAUAAUGGUCAGUUGUCUGCAUGGAGGCCCACACUUUGGGAAGGAAGGUCCAGGAAGUCUUCAAUAAAUGACACUGAAAGUGGCUUUUUUAUUAUUAUUUUUUUUUAUUUUUUUUUUUGAGAUAGGGUCUCAUUCUGUUGCUCAGACUAGAGUGCAGUGGCAUUGUUUCCUGCAACCUGAGACUCCUGGGCUCAAGUGAUCCUCCUGUCCCAGCCUCCUCAGUAGCUGAGAUUCCUGGGCUCAAGUGAUCCUCUUGUCCCAGCCUCCUCAGUAGCUGAGACUCCUGGGCUCAAGUGAUCCUACUGUCCCAGCCUCCUCAGUAGCUGAGACUCCUGGGCUCAAGUGAUCCUCCUGUCCCAGCCUCCUCAGUAGCUGAGACUCCUGGGCUCAAGUGAUCCUCCUGUCCCAGCCUCCUCAGUAGCUGAGACUCCUGGGCUCAAGUGAUCCUCCUGUCCCAGCCUCCUCAGUAGCUGAGACUCCUGGGCUCAAGUGAUCCUCUUGUCCCAGCCUCCUCAGUAGCUGAGACUACAGGCACAUGCCACCAUACCAAGCUCAUUUUUUCUACUUUUUUUUUUUGAGACAGAGUCUCAAUCUGUCACCCUGGGUAGAGUUCCAUGGUGUCAUAGCCCACAGUAACCUCAAACUCUUGGGUUUAAUUGAUUCUCUUGCCUCAGCCUCCCAAGUAGCUGGGACUACGGGCAUCUGCCACAACACCCAGCUAUUUUGUUGUUGUUGCAGUUGUCAUUGUUGUUUCAGCAGACUUGGGCCAGGUUUGGCCUCCGUGUACAUGGCCAGUGCCCUACCCACUGAGUACGGGUGCUGUCCUUUUCUACUUUUUUAGAGACAGAGUCUCACUCUUGCUUAGGCUGUUCUUGAACUGACCCUCCUGCCUUGGCCUCCCAAAGUGCUAGGAUUAUAGUCAUGAGCCACUGUACCCAGCCCCUUUUACUUUUUGUAAGGCUUACAUUCUAUUUUGCUCUUUUCCUCAGAGACCCAUGACAGCUAUAAAACAGGUGGAAUAAGAAACAGUGACGAGCUCACAAGAGAAUACUGCCUUCUGCCCCACAUGCUACCAAAGGACAGUGAGAAAACCUUAUUCAUUAGAAUCACAGAUUUUUAGAACUAGAAGCCAUCUGAAAGCCCUUGGUUGGGGACAUCUGAUAUUCAUGCCCCCCCACCUCGGCAUCCCUUCUUCCUUCUUUUGUUUCUAGCACCCUGAUUUGUCUUUGAGACAUGAACACUUUUUUUUUUUUGUAGAGACAGAGUCUCACUGUACAGCCCUCGGUAGGGUGCCAUGGCGUCACACAGCUCACAGCAACCUUCAACUCCUGGGCUUAGGCGAUUCUCCUGCCUCAGCCUCCCAAGUAGCUGGAACUAUAGGCGCCCGCCACAACGCCCAGCUAUUUUUUUGUUGCAGUUUGGCCGGGGCCGGGUUUGAACCCACCACCCUCGGUAUAUGGGGCCAGCGCCCUGCUCACUGAGACAUGAACACUUUUAAACUCUCAGACCUCUGGAUGGGGCAGACCUGCUCCUAGCUCCAAAUAGUGGACACGAAACCCAGGCCCAGACAGUAGCUAGAUUCCAUCCUUCCACCUCUAAUAAUUCAUUUAGGACGGACACAUGACUCUCAUUAGUCCAAAGAGAAUUUAGGUGGGGGGUAUUAAAAUCGGGCUCUAUUUCUGGCAGAAGUGCUAUCUGUAAGGAUAAUGUCAUGCUGGAGCUACUGGCACAUAGAGUGGACGUGCCUGACUGUGAAAGUGUAAGGAAGUGGCCAAAUCACAGAAACUUUGUUUGAGACCCUGGAUCCAGCUAUACCUGAAGCUAAUGUCAUCUCUGAAAUUUUCAAUAUGUGAACAAGUAAAUCCAGUUUUCAGCUUAAGCCUGUUUGAUUAUCUAUUUGCAACCAAAAAAGAGUCAUGGCUAUCUACCACCUUGUUCUUUUCUUUUUACAAGUCCAAAUUAGAAAAUGGCAUAUUCAGCAUCUCAAAGUUAGGAACAGAAUUGGACUAGCAUCUAAGCCUUCUGAUGUCCAGUCUAGGGCAUUAAU